GACGAACGCUGGCGGCGUGCCUAACACAUGCAAGUCGAACGGAACUGUUUUGAAAGAUUUCUUCGGAAUGAAUUUGAUUUAGUUUAGUGGCGGACGGGUGAGUAACGCGUGAGUAACCUGCCUUCAAGAGGGGGAUAACAUUCUGAAAAGAAUGCUAAUACCGCAUGACAUAUCGGAACCACAUGAUUCUGAUAUCAAAGAUUUUAUCGCUUGAAGAUGGACUCGCGUCCGAUUAGUUAGUUGGUGAGGUAACGGCUCACCAAGACCGCGAUCGGUAGCCGGACUGAGAGGUUGAACGGCCACAUUGGGACUGAGACACGGCCCAGACUCCUACGGGAGGCAGCAGUGGGGGAUAUUGCGCAAUGGGGGCAACCCUGACGCAGCAACGCCGCGUGAAGGAUGAAGGUUUUCGGAUUGUAAACUUCUUUUAUUAAGGACGAAAAUUGACGGUACUUAAUGAAUAAGCUCCG
rnacentral:rRNA from 1 species